AUGAACGCUGGCGGCGUGCCUAAUACAUGCAAGUCGAACGAGUUCUCGUUGAUGAUCGGUGCUUGCACCGAGAUUCAACAUGGAACGAGUGGCGGACGGGUGAGUAACACGUGGGUAACCUGCCCUUAAGUGGGGGAUAACAUUUGGAAACAGAUGCUAAUACCGCAUAGAUCCAAGAACCGCAUGGUUCUUGGCUGAAAGAUGGCGUAAGCUAUCGCUUUUGGAUGGACCCGCGGCGUAUUAGCUAGUUGGUGAGGUAAUGGCUCACCAAGGCGAUGAUACGUAGCCGAACUGAGAGGUUGAUCGGCCACAUUGGGACUGAGACACGGCCCAAACUCCUACGGGAGGCAGCAGUAGGGAAUCUUCCACAAUGGACGCAAGUCUGAUGGAGCAACGCCGCGUGAGUGAAGAAGGCUUUCGGGUCGUAAAACUCUGUUGUUGGAGAAGAAUGGUCGGCAGAGUAACUGUUGUCGGCGUGACGGUAUCCAACCAGAAAGCCACGGCUAACUACGUGCCAGCAGCCGCGGUAAUACGUAGGUGGCAAGCGUUAUCCGGAUUUAUUGGGCGUAAAGCGGGCGCAGGCGGUUUUUUAAGUCUGAUGUGAAAGCCCUCGGCUUAACCGAGGAAGCGCAUCGGAAACUGGGAAACUUGAGUGCAGAAGAGGACAGUGGAACUCCAUGUGUAGCGGUGAAAUGCGUAGAUAUAUGGAAGAACACCAGUGGCGAAGGCGGCUGUCUGGUCUGUAACUGACGCUGAGGCUCGAAAGCAUGGGUAGCGAACAGGAUUAGAUACCCUGGUAGUCCAUGCCGUAAACGAUGAAUGCUAGGUGUUGGAGGGUUUCCGCCCUUCAGUGCCGCAGCUAACGCAUUAAGCAUUCCGCCUGGGGAGUACGACCGCAAGGUUGAAACUCAAAGGAAUUGACGGGGGCCCGCACAAGCGGUGGAGCAUGUGGUUUAAUUCGAAGCAACGCGAAGAACCUUACCAGGUCUUGACAUCUUUUGAUCACCUGAGAGAUCAGGUUUCCCCUUCGGGGGCAAAAUGACAGGUGGUGCAUGGUUGUCGUCAGCUCGUGUCGUGAGAUGUUGGGUUAAGUCCCGCAACGAGCGCAACCCUUAUGACUAGUUGCCAGCAUUUAGUUGGGCACUCUAGUAAGACUGCCGGUGACAAACCGGAGGAAGGUGGGGAUGACGUCAAAUCAUCAUGCCCCUUAUGACCUGGGCUACACACGUGCUACAAUGGAUGGUACAACGAGUUGCGAGACCGCGAGGUCAAGCUAAUCUCUUAAAGCCAUUCUCAGUUCGGACUGUAGGCUGCAACUCGCCUACACGAAGUCGGAAUCGCUAGUAAUCGCGGAUCAGCACGCCGCGGUGAAUACGUUCCCGGGCCUUGUACACACCGCCCGUCACACCAUGAGAGUUUGUAACACCCGAAGCCGGUGGCGUAACCCUUUUAGGGAGCGAGCCGUCUAAGGUGGGACAAAUGAUUAGGGUG
rnacentral:rRNA from 1 species